AGGGAGGACACUGGCUUUGGGAGUACUGAAUUCACAGUACUUUUGGGACCACCCAGAAAGCCUGUUACUGUUGGGGAGUUUAAAGGUUUCUAUAAAUGGAAAUGAAAUCUCAUCUCAUGUGGAUUAUUCAUUCAAGACAUAUUUUGAAAACUUACAGCCACCAGCUAUAGAUAAGGAGUACACAUCUGCCUUCGAGCACAUAAGUGAAUGGAAGAGAAAUUUUGCUGAAGAUGAGAAGAUCAUAAAGCACUAUCAAAAUAUCUGGCCCAGGGUCCUACCAGACAUCAGUGAAGGGUACUGGAAACUGUCCCCCAAGCCUUACAAGAUCCCUAGGCUGGAAGUUGGAGUGAACAACAUGGGUCCGG
rnacentral:lncRNA from 1 species